rnacentral:lncRNA from 1 species
CUCAACUUGGCACGAUCUUUCACUUUGACACCUUUAGUUGACUGUGUUCAUUUUAGACACCUAAACCAGUCACCAACUGUGUCAUUUUGACACUUUUAGCUGACAUGGCAUGGCGAGUGUGGUACACUCGAAUUCAGCAAUUGGAGUUCUUAUUUAUCCGAAAAUAAUUUUAAAAAAUCUGCUUCUUCUUCAUUUUUUUGGCCCUUAUUCUUCAUCACCAUUUUUGGGUCUCCUAAGACCAUAAAUUCGCCGAAAUCAUCAUCACCAUCUCCAUUGAUGGUAUAAUUAUUUAACCUCGUAUACAUAAAUUUUCCGGUAUCACAAUUUUCUUCACUUCCUCCACUAAAAUUUUAGCUUCGACCAAACUCGCAAAUUCUCAAUUUCAAAUCUUCAAGUACUCAAGCAAUUAGUGAAAUUCUUUAAUGAGUUCUUGAAAAUUUUCAAUAAAGCAAAAAUUUCUCAUCGCCGGAGUUUCAAAAAUUUUCAACUUGAUUGUAACAUCCAAGGAUUUAAUUUAUUUUUUAACUUUUUUUGUUGAAAUGCCCUCAU